rnacentral:rRNA from 1 species
GAUGAACGCUGGCGGCGUGCCUAAUACAUGCAAGUCGAGCGAACGGACGAGAAGCUUGCUUCUCUGAUGUUAGCGGCGGACGGGUGAGUAACACGUGGAUAACCUACCUAUAAGACUGGGAUAGCUUCGGGAAACCGGAGCUAAUACCGGAUAAUAUUUUGAACCGCAUGGUUCAAAAGUGAAAGACGGUCUUGCUGUCACUUAUAGAUGGAUCUGCGCUGCAUUAGCUAGUUGGUAAGGUAACGGCUUACCAAGGCAACGAUGCAUAGCCGACCUGAGAGGGUGAUCGGCCACACUGGAACUGAGACACGGUCCAGACUCCUACGGGAGGCAGCAGUAGGGAAUCUUCCGCAAUGGGCGAAAGCCUGACGGAGCAACGCCGCGUGAGUGAUGAAGGUCUUCGGAUCGUAAAACUCUGUUAUUAGGGAAGAACAUAUGUGUAAGUAACUGUGCACAUCUUGACGGUACCUAAUCAGAAAGCCACGGCUAACUACGUG